GUGAGGAAUAUUGGUCAAUGGUCGGAAGACUGAACCAGCCAAGUAGCGUGAAGGAUGAAGGUUCUAUGGAUUGUAAACUUCUUUUAUACGGGAAUAAAACCUCCCACGUGUGGGAGCUUGUAUGUACCGUAUGAAUAAGCAUCGGCUAACUCCGUGCCAGCAGCCGCGGUAAUACGGAGGAUGCGAGCGUUAUCCGGAUUUAUUGGGUUUAAAGGGAGCGUAGACGGGAGAUUAAGUCAGUUGUGAAAGGCUGCGGCUCAACCGCAGCACUGCAGUUGAUACUGGUUUCCUUGAGUUCGGUUGAGGUGUAUGGAAUUCGUGGUGUAGCGGUGAAAUGCUUAGAUAUCACGAAGAACUCCGAUUGCGAAGGCAGUACACUAAGCCGAUACUGACGUUGAGGCUCGAAAGUGUGGGUAUCAAACAGGAUUAGAUACCCCUGUAGUCC
rnacentral:rRNA from 1 species